GUGGCUCAGAGGUAGAGUGCUUGCCUCACACGCAUGAGGCCCUGGGUUCGAUUCCUCAGC
rnacentral:tRNA from 1 species